UCACGCGCACCCUUACCUUGCCUUACCUGCGAGCCCCUUCACGAGAGAUGGACACAAAGCGAUGACGACAUUGACACCUUUCUUAGAUCUACAACGCUAGCUUUCUUCUCCUUUGUUCCAACUCAGAAAUAACAACAAUGUCUAACAUAAAACUCUACACCAAAUAAUUUCCCAUAUAAUUUUUAUUUUUAAAAUCCUAAAUAAUGGAGUCUGAGAUGCAAGACCUGACUUCGAAGCCAGCAAACUCGACGGCCCCCGCCGAUGGCUCAACCAAAGAAGAUCGACCUCUUCUUAAGCCCCAGUCUACUGAGAACCUCGAAGAAUUGGAGAAUAAAUUCGCAGCUUUCGUGCGCAAUGACGUGUACGGUACCAUGGGACGUGGCGAACUGCCUUUGACUGAGAAGGUUCUGCUUGGUUUUGCUUUGGUAACGUUAGUUCCGAUAAGAGUGAUAUUGGCGAUGGGCGUAUUGAUAUUGUAUUACUUGAUUUGUCGCAUUUUUACGCUUUUCUUGGUGCCUAAUCGGGACGAGGAGCAAGAGGAUUACGCGCAUGUGGGCGGGUGGAGAAGGAACGUUAUAGUAUUGAGUGGUAGAUUCUUGUCCAGAGUCCUCCUUUUUGUGCUGGGAUUUUAUUGGAUUAAAGAAACUUAUAGGAUUGCUGAUGCUCAAGAGAAGCCGUCUUCUACGCAGAAUGAGGUCAAUAAUCAAGUUGAAGACCCUGAAAGACCUGGUGCUAUUAUAUCUAAUCAUGUAUCAUAUUUGGAUAUUUUGUAUCACAUGUCUUCUUCUUUUCCAAGCUUUGUUGCCAAGAGAUCAGUCGCUAAACUUCCUCUAAUUGGUCUCAUCAGCAAGUGCCUUGGUUGUGUCUAUGUUCAGCGGGAGUCUAAGUCAUCUGAUUUCAAGGGUGUUUCAGGUGUUGUGACUGAAAGAGUUCAAGAAGCUCACAAGGAUAAAUCUGCUCCAAUGAUGAUGCUUUUUCCGGAAGGUACAACUACAAAUGGUGACUUUCUACUUCCUUUCAAGACUGGAGCAUUUUUAGCAAGAGUUCCUGUUCUUCCUGUGAUUCUUAGGUAUCCUUACCAGAGAUUCAGUCUGGCCUGGGAUUCGAUAUCUGGGGUGCGCCAUGUCCUUUUUCUUCUCUGCCAAUUUGUAAACCAUAUAGAGGUGACCAGGUUACCUGUCUACUACCCCUCACAUCAAGAGAAGGAUGAUUCAAAAUUCUAUGCUGAAAACGUUCGAAGGUUGAUGGCUAGUGAGGGUAAUUUGAUAAUGUCGAAUAUCAGACUUGCCGAGAAGCGAAUAUAUCAUGCUGCUCUUAAUGGUAAUGAUAGCCUGCCUAGUGUUUUGCAUCAGAAAGACGAUUGAUAAUUUCUUGGCCUCAGCUCCCACAUGUUAUCUAGUCUCAGUUGAGUUUCUAUAGGGGCAUUUACCCAUGAGUGGACAGCUAAAAAAGGCAGUGAUUGUCUCUCUCCUUUUUACUCAAAGAGAAACUGGUUUAUUUUGCCCAUGCUAAUUUGGAUUCGCUGUCUGUAAAUUCAUUGUAUGAUUAUUAUUUAUGAAAAGAUUAAAAGUGACAUAGGCGGCCUGUGAUGUUUACACACUUAUCAGUUGGUAGUUUAUGAGGCAGUUUUAGCUAUUGUGAUUGGUGCUUCUUAGCCUUGGACGUUGAGGUUAAUGCUUAGAAACAGAGGCUGCCUUUUGUUCUCAUUGUGGGGUCUUAUCCUUUGGGAGCAAGUGAUUGUAAUUACUUAUGGAGGGUUCGGCAAUUACAAUUUUGCAUGAAUUUAUGAAUUAUGACCUCUACAGCUACAAAGAAAUAUUAGGUUUCAAAUGCUCCA